AAGCAUAUAAUUAAGCGGAGGAAAAGAAACUAACCAGGAUUCCCCCAGUAAGGGCGACUGAAGCGGGAAGAGCUCAGGAUGUGAAUCAGUGCUGUAAUGCUGUAUUGCGUGUGGCACUGAAUUGUGGUCUGUAGACGGUAACACUAUCAGCCGGGCCAAGUCCCUUGGAACAGGGCAGCUGAGAGGGUGAGACUCCCGUUCGCCCGGCAGAGUGAGUUGCCAGUCAACGAGUCGAGUUGUUUGGGAUUGCAGCUCAAAGUGGGUGGUAAAUUCCAUCUAAAGCUAAAUAUUGGUGGGAGACCGAUAGCGUACAAGUACCGUGAGGGAAAGAUGCAAAGAACUUUGAAAAGAGAGUUAAAGAGUACCUGAAAUUGCUGAAAGGGAAGCGAAGGAAACCAGUGUUGGGCUGGUCAUAUUUCCCAGUCUGCUUGCAGUUUGGGCGCUGUGGCCGUCCUGAGUUGUUCUUGGUUGUCGUUGGUGGAAGGGCGUGUGCAGAGUUGAUGCGUCAUUGCCAGCACGAGCGUUGACUGAGGAGGACGAAAUGGUUUUCUUUACCCCGUCUUG
rnacentral:rRNA from 1 species